UUAAUCCUCGCGCUGGUCGAGAGAGAAGAUUGCGGUGCGCUGGUGGCCGUGGAGACAGGGAGGCCUCCGCGAGUCGCGGGAAUUUGGCGCUUAUUUUUUGUUGGUUGAGUGUUCUUGCCCGUGAUUGGGCCGCGGCGCGGCGUGUCGGGUGCGCCGACUCCGUCGUCCUAGGCCGGGCCUGGGCGGUGCAGAACAAGGCUGGCCUCCCGGGGGAUGGGCCACCAGGAGUCUCCGCUGACCCGGGAGGCGGCAGGAGGCGCAGCUUAUGUAAAGAGGUUAUGUAAAGGGCUCAGCUGGCGCGAACACGCGGAAAGCCACGGGAACCUGGAAGCCUGGGCCUUCUCUGCGAGUGCCGCUGCCACCACCGGUGCAGCACCACGGCCUGUCACCCACCCGGCCCGGGCCAACUAUUCCCGCGCUCCUAGGUCCCAGAGGCAACUCCGGGUCGGGGCGGACCAUUACCCGCCGAGGGCUCCAGCGGGUAAACGCGCCGCCCGGAAGUGGAGCAGUGCCGGCCAGGUCACAAUCCAAGGUCCCGCUCCUUCGCGUGCCGGGGCCGGACGAAGGGAUGAGGCAGGGGGGACCCGGGCAGCACCGUUGCUGCUCCCCCCGCCGCCCGCAGCCAUGGAAACGGGGGAGGAGGACGGCGCCCGCAGAGGUACACAAAGCCCGGAACGGAAAAGGCGAAGCCCAGUGCCGAGGGCGCCCAGCGCGAAGCUGAGGCCGGUGGCUGCGGCCAAGGCAAUGGAUCCAGUGGCGGCCGAGGCCCCGGCCGAGGCCAACCUGGCGGGGCGGCGGUCCGAAGGUAGCGGCGGGUCUGCGCCUCCUCGCUACAGCCUGUUGGCGGAAAUCGGGCGCGGCAGUUACGGCGUGGUUUACGAGGCAGUGGCCGGGCGCAGCGGGGCGCGGGUGGCAGUCAAGAAGAUUCGCUGCGAUGCCCCCGAGAACGUGGAGCUGGCGCUGGCCGAAUUUUGGGCCCUGACCAGCCUCAAGCGCCGCCACCAGAACGUCGUACAGUUUGAGGAGUGCGUCCUGCAGCGCAACGGGCUCGCCCAGCGCAUGAGCCACGGCAACAAGAGCUCACAGCUUUACCUGCGCCUGGUGGAGACUUCGCUCAAAGGAGAAAGGAUCCUGGGCUAUGCUGAAGAGCCCUGCUAUCUCUGGUUUGUCAUGGAGUUCUGUGAAGGUGGAGACCUGAAUCAGUAUGUCCUGUCUCGAAGGCCAGACCCAGCCACCAACAAAAGCUUCAUGCUGCAGCUCACAAGCGCCAUUGCCUUCCUGCACAAAAACCACAUCGUGCACAGGGACUUAAAGCCAGACAACAUCCUCAUCACAGAGCGGUCUGGCACUCCCAUCCUCAAAGUGGCAGACUUUGGACUGAGCAAAGUCUGUGCUGGGGUGGCACCUCGAGGCAAAGAGGGCAAUCAAGACAACAAAAAUGUGAAUGUGAAUAAAUACUGGCUGUCAUCAGCCUGUGGUUCAGACUUCUACAUGGCCCCUGAAGUCUGGGAGGGACACUACACGGCCAAGGCGGACAUCUUUGCCCUGGGCAUUAUUAUCUGGGCAAUGAUAGAAAGAAUCACUUUCAUUGACUCUGAGACCAAGAAAGAGCUCCUGGGGACCUACAUUAAACAGGGAACUGAGAUCGUCCCUGUUGGCGAGGCGCUGCUAGAAAACCCAAAGAUGGAGUUGCACAUCCCCCAGAAACGUAGGACUUCCAUGUCUGAGGGAAUCAAGCAGCUCUUGAAAGAUAUGUUAGCUGCUAACCCACAGGACCGGCCUGAUGCCUUUGAACUUGAAACUAGAAUGGACCGGGUCACAUGUGCUGCUUAAAAUUCAGGACUGAACAUCUUGGGUGUUUUUAAACUAGCAAAUCUUCGGCCCAUGUCCGUUCACUUCCCUUCAUCCCACCAUCGGUCAGAACCUGUCCCGCCACCAGCUCUCACUGGACAGUGCUGCCCCCAGGUCCUACUUAGGCGCUCUCCAAAAUGGAGCCAUUCUCCAGAGUCAGCUGAACAGGUCAUUUCACAGCUCCUGACUACCUCCAAGCCUUAUCUAUACCUCUCUCCCAGGCUCUUUGUGCUCCAGUCCCAGUCCCUGAUUCGGGUCAUUUGCACUCACUAUACCUUUGCCUAGAAUGUUUUCACCUUGGCUGCCCACAUGGCUGGCUCCUUCUUCACCUACGGGGAGUCUUCACUCAAAAGUACCGUCCUCAACUUCACUGGAAGCCUUCAGCCCACCUCCAACGCACUUUACUCUUUGUCACAUCAUAUGUGCUGCCCAAGUGGGAGUGGAGUCACUGAAGUUUGGCACCUCUGAAGGAAUCCUGUGAGAGAUUCCCAGGUACCUGGCAUGCAUUUCCCAUCUGUUCCCCUGGCAUUGUUAGUGCUGCUGAUGGACUAGCGCUUUGGGCAGCUGUGCAGAUAACCUGCCCCUGACCUGCCUCUGCCUGGCAUGUGGUUCUAUAAGUGUCCCGAUGAAUGGCACCCAGGAUGAUUGUGCUUCUGUCACCGUCCCUGGCACAGAGGAGCUCCAUAAAGACUGCUCAAUUAACACUUUUCUAAUUCAAUGCUGUUUGAUCAUUUGCAGGCUUUAAAAGUGCUGUGAAUUUCAUUUUGAUAAGUGAAAUAAUUUUCCAAAAUGUACGCAAUCACUUUGGCGAUGUUCAAUCUUCAUUUCUCCACUCAGUAAAGUGCCUUCACAUUUAGCUUAGGCUCCUUGCCAGGAAUUCAGCCUCAAGCAGAAGUAGUUAAAAAGUCUGAAAAGCAGUAUUUUGAUGUAUUAUGAGAAUCAUGAUUAAAUUCUUUUAUUAAAUUCAAGUUUUUAUAAGCAGAUCCUCUUCAGUGCGUCUCAGCUACACAGAAUCACACUAAAUAACUUUAAAUACAUUUGUUCAAAGACUGCUUAGAUUUGCACUGUUAACAGUUAUCCUCGGUCCAAUUUCCUCCAAGGACACCACUUCAUUCCAGAACAGCCACUUCAAAUACUUCGUCAAUGGCUAAGAGGCCCAGAGGUCUCUGAAAACUGGUGGGAAGCCAUCUGAGAAACAUUUACAGUACAGCUUCCUCCUCUCUCAGACAUGAAAACAAAGAGCUUAUAGUCUGGGGGCCUCAGAAUGGUCAUGUUUCCUGAAUCAGACACACUGGGUGCUCUGUGCACAAAAUAGGAUUCUGAUUGCAUAAACACACAGCUAACGAAUCAGGCUCCACUCCAUUGGAGAGUGCUCAGUCUGUAUAUUUAUAUAAACAUCGGCUUUCUAUCCAAUAGGACAUAUGGGGCAUGAAAGAUGAUCUCUUGAGGUGGAAGAGUAUUACAUAUUUAUGGUUAUGUUUAUGUUUUUGAAAGACAGACAUUAAGUUUACUAGUAUUUACUAUGUGACAUCACCCUCAAGGUGACCCCUGGUCAAUAUUCCUCUAUUGCCCUUUGUCAUAUUAUCAUGUACUGUAGUUUCCCUGCUACUGAAAACCAUUAGCAGAGUUCAUGCUGAUUUUAAAUGGUAUAAGUUUUGUAGCAGUUUAAAAAGUUGGCUAUAUACACAUCCAGAUUUUUCCUUAAGUAUCUACUAACAAAUGGUUAUUUUAAAAAACAAAAAUAAGUUCAUAUCUAUUCUUAUGCUUCUUUUUUAUUUUACUUAACCCAUAUGGUUUGGACAUCUUUUUAUGUCAGUAUAUAUGGCACUAACUCAUUUUUUCUUGUUAUUUUAAUAUUUGCAUAGAAGAGUCUUCUCUCUUAUUACAAAUAUUCUUUCUUUUUUCCUUCUUCCCUUUCUUAUUUUUUUACUUUUUUGACAGGAUUGCUUUACUUUUGAAAUAGGAUUUCACUAUGUAGUUCUUGAAUUCACUAUGUAGCCUAGGUUGAUCUCAAGCUUAUAGAGAUCUACCUGCCUCAGUCUCCAAAGUGCUAGGAUUACAGGCAGGUACCACCCCACCAUGACUAGAAAGAUUAUUUCUUCUAAAAAAAUUCAUACAGUAAAUUUUUAUAUGUGGAAAAGAUAGUUACUACUUGAUCUUAUUGUGCAUAAAUACUGAAAGAAAUCAUAAAGAAAACAUAUGUAUGAUUCUCAAAUUUAUAAAAUUAUAAAAUUCCAGAAUAAUGGAGGCAAAGGAAACAAUGCAGGUAGUACUCAGGUUAUCACUGCCAUAAGUAACAAACUUAAAGCAACCUGUACCCAGCACACUGCUGUGGAGAUGGUAUCCUGGUGGCUGCUGCUGAGUCUCAGUCUCAGUCCUGUGUGGCAGACACAAUGAUAUUCCUCACAAGCCAAAGAAAGAAUAUUACAUAAACUCGUCAUGAAGUAGAAAUCCUGAGUUUGUAUGGGUAUAUCUUGGGGUAAGAUUUUUUCAUAAAAUGGAAGUACCAUUUAUUUUGUCUGCCUCUUAUUACUCGGGGACAUUUGAGGGUGUCAUUUAGAUAUUCUGAAAGAAUUGCCCUAACAGAAUGCCACUGACCAGGGACUUAAACAACAGAAAUUUAUUUUCUCAUAGUUAUGGAAGCAAGAAAUCUCUGGUCAAGGUGUCAGCAGGACUGGUGUCUCUGGAGGCCUCUCUUUGUGGCUUGCCGCCGGCCACCUUCUCUGGGUCCUCAUGCCGUCUUCUUCUGUGCUCAUGCAUCCCUGGUGUCUUCCUAAGGACACCGAUCAUGUUAGACUGGCCACAUGACCUUGCUUAACCUUACUGUAUCUUUAAAGGCCCCUUCUCCAAAUGCAUGUUCCAAAGGCCUAGAAACUAGGCUUUCCAUUCCAGGGUUGCUUCUCACAUCCUGGAGUGUCCCUCUCCAGGACAUGGGGCAGGGACAACCUCCUCUUGCCUGUCAAACUUCAACUUAUUCUUCACAUUUCAGGAUAGAAAUCAGCCUCUCAAAGAAGCCCUCUCCAGCCCCGCUUGUCAGGCUGCCAUUGCUCCACCUGCCUGCAGAACCUCAGGAUUUACUCUGCAGCAGUUACCACAUCUUUCCGGGACAUAAGACAAGAAGCAGAUCCCACACGACCUUUCACCCGGCUCUUAACUGCCGCUGUGUCACUAUGGCAACCAGGCACCAGAGCAUGCUUGGAAUUCCAAAAGCCCACAGACAGUCUCUGCGUCUUCAAAUCCCCACUUCUGCCGAUUUGUGGCUGGCAAAAACCCAGCAGCACAAGGGGCUAAGAGAUUUCCCCAGUUCCAGGAGACCGAGAGUAUCUAGGACUCCGCCACUUUCGGCGCUUCAUAGAGACCCGCAUCACCAUGGCAACCUGAGGGCUAGGCCGCCUUACCAACCCAGAGUGCAAGCAUUUCUCUGCAGACUCCACCCCUUCCGGCACUUCAAAUCCGCCUCUCGUCACCAUGGCAACCGAGGAGGGCGAAGGGCUGUUUCUACAGACUUGGAGCGCAUCCGUCCCGCACCUUAAGGCGCGUCACCUGCGUCCUUCACCAUGGCAACCCGCUGCCGGGGUCUCACUGUGCAGUCCAGGCUAGCCUGAGCUCACUUUGUAGCCUAGGCCAGUCUUGAACUCAACAACCCUUUUGGCUUAGCCUCCAUAGAGCUGGGAUUAUAGCUGUGUACCACGCUCAGUUCUGAUGCAUAGUUCAGAAACCCAGCAUGUCACCGGUUAGAACAGCUACGAUUCAAGUGCUCAGCAGCCACGGAUGGCAGCUCAGGAGUGGACAGCGUACAGGCAGGGACACUUGGAGCUCUGAGACAGAUAAACCGACCCAAGAUGGAGCUGCCUGAGCCCCUCCUGGACCAUGCUUCAAGUACAACAAAGAAGGACAUUGGGCAAGAGAGUGCCCCAACCCCAGCAUUCCCUUGGGGCCUUGCCCCUAUUGCAGUCUCAAGGGCCAUUGGGAGAGCGACUGUCCUAGCUGCCAGAGUCAUCCUCUAACUCCUUGCCCUCAUAGGAGAUCUCGUCACCACCAGAUUCAUCACUGACUGAUCUGCUCGGACUUGCUGCUGAAGACUGAUGGGGCUCGGGGUCCACAGCCACCAUUAAGGUGUCCUUCUCAGAGCCCCAGACUAGAGGUCUCAGACAGCACCAGCUAAUCUGUUUCCAGUCAGCCCUACAAUCACAAGAGGAAACAGUUGGUGCUCCACAGUGUACGUGUUGCUAAACUAGAAUGUUCAUGCAGGUAAGUCCAUUCAAUGCAUUUUUGACUCAUGAUGUUGUCAAUUUACAAUAAGUGUAUUGACAUGUAACCUCAUUGUAAGUCAAGGGGCAUCUGUAUUUUAGUACUAUCAGACAGAAAAGAAGUGGAAUCAUUGCUAAGAAACACUUCCCUAGAACUGGACAUAAUAGACUCUGUUAGGAAAUUAAAAAGUAUGCUAGAUUCCAUACUAUAUGUAACAACUCUUGCUUUUUACAGUGCACCUCAUAGUUUAUAAAACAUUUUCAGAGACAUAGCUUCAACCAACCCAUUGAACAAUUCCAUAACGUAAAAAAGUCUUGCAUACCAUACUUUGUGCACUGUAAGCAAUCAAAUAUUUGUGAGGCAAGUAAACAAAUUAAUCUCCAUUUUACAGCUAAGAACACUAAGUUCCAAAGCCUUGAGCUAUCUGUCUUAGUGAAAUCAACAAGAUGAAACCCAUAUUUUCUGAGUUCAAGUCUGAUCACGUUUCUAAAUUUUUCCUUGAGAUCUGGUUUUGGGACAAGUACCAUGAAAUAUUACUAGGGAAAAUAGUCAAAUUUUCCCUGCAUGGUGUGCCAUGACAUAGGAAUUUGGGGGUAUCCAAGUACAUGCCCAAUCAUUCCCAAUCACUUACAUUGCUAUAAAUUAAAUCAUUAUUCUGUUUCUCUGGAAGAGCCAUAAAAACACCAAAUUAGCAUUCUACUUCCCAAGCAGCCCAAGGCAGGGUGAGAUGGCAGUGAACAGGAGCCAAAUUUCUAAUUAUCUCAUUAGGAUCUCUAAGCCAAAUAGUUAUUCCAUAAGCCAAUGAUUACAAAUGUAGAGUAAUACCAAGGAAAAUGGAAAAACACAUGAUGAAAAUACCCCAAAGAAACAUCUGGUGUUGUAAUCCUAGUUCACAGACCAGGUGUCUCAACAGAGAAGAGAUCUUACUUAUUGCUGGAAUUUGAAGACUGAAAAGAGAAAACAUAAUAGUAAUAAAUGGCUUCAAAGGUACUUAUUAUUACAACUCCAAGAAGAAAUGAAUGGCAAUUAGUGGGGAAGAAAAUGAUGCAGAGGUGUCUAGGAAACUAUUCCAUUACUACCUUUCAGAAAGAUUCUAGCCCACUGCACAACCUCUACCAUGAAAGGCAAGCAACUUCUUAUGGGGCAUUUUCCAGAACUCAAGUUUCCAAAUUGCAAAAGUUCUUAAACUGAUCAUCUGGUGUAAUAACGCAGGCCAACCUAAUCUGCCAACUCUCCUCAUUUUUGCCACUGUCAUGGAGCAUCCUUUUUUUCUUCAGGGCUAGACAAAUUCACCACCAUGGGAGUAUCACUUCCCUGUAUUCAAGUACUAGAAAGUCUUGCCCUUAUGCUGAGGCCAAGCCAACAAUCCAGGUAUUUCUACAUUGGAACUUCUCCAAACAAAGCAAAUUCUUCGGUGUGACACUUCAUCAAUUACUAAUCAUGAUGCUUCUGUCCCCAUCAGCUAAACAUCUCCAGUCAGAAGGAAGUCACUUACAGCACUCCCCAAAAGAUCUAGGUUUCCGGAUAUGUCACCAUGAGAGCCAUCUUUCUGGCCAAGUUUCAGGACUGAAAGUUGGAUAUUGGGCUCUGAGAAACUCUGAACUGCAGAGGGCCCAUCUUUUAGGGUAGUUUCACAACCCUUCCCUGCCCUCGAAGUGGAAGGAUGGUCUCUGAUCUCAGGGCCAAAUGCUGGAGAAUUGCUCGGGCACCUGGCCAGGUCCCUGGGCUAAGUUGUUAAGGCAACUGGCAGCAGCAUUUCCAUAGCUUAACAACUUAAACUGUUGGGCCAGACCCUGCCUCCUUUGUACCUAAGGACCCCCAAAGAGCACAAAGGGCACCCUCUCUAGAACCCUUCUAGAGUAGCUGGCUCUCCCUCCCUGCGGGUUGGGCAGCAACCCCAUCAGGCCCACUUCUACCCCAGCAAGUUUGUUGUACUUUGUACUCUGCCUGCGGCAGGUCCCACUCAUCUUGAGUCUCUUCAACACAAGGCUCCAACCUCCAGAGAGAAGAUGUGCCCAGUAAAUGGCCAGGUAUUAAAAGCCUGACAGGACAGAGCAGGACAUUGAAGGGCAUUCAGUAUCUGCAGUGCUGUGAUGCUAACCCCACCUCCCUCCCACAGAGCAUUUGCAAAACUUUGGAGCUGAAAAAAACAUCCUAAACCUAACCUCUUUCUUCUCCUGGAUGAAGAAUCAGGCCCAGAGAAAGACUGUGGCUUGUUCAAGGGCAUAUGGUGGCACAGAGGUGUAAGCAUUCGGCCUUGUUUCCUGUAACCCACUGUAAAGGCAGGAAAACACAGGGUGUGUCCCCUCUUCUCCCACUUUGACUCCUUUAAUGGGUGUGAUAUAUUGAACAUUAACUGUGGGCUGAUAGCAGAGCAGGGACAUGACAGACCUGCAGUGCUGCUCUUCCAAGUGUCACUUCCAUUUAUAACGCUGUCUGACUUAGCCAGGCAUGUGAUCCCUUGUGUUUUGUGAUGGUUCUGGGGUCAGACACUUGUGUAGCCUCCAUUGCAGAAGGAUUUCAUGCAAUGUUAACAGAAAUAAAAAGAAUCUCUGCCUGUGCCAUCCACUUUUAUCACUGUUACAAGACAAAAGAUUUGAGGGAUGCUACUGGACAUGGAGCUAGGUAAUGUCUGCUAUUUAUAACAGGUGUGUGGGUAAGAGAGCAGGUGCUCCAGAUUCGCAGGAAAUGCCUCACAGGAGUGAGGGUCUUCACCUGAUCACUCUGCACAGAGGGCCUCUCCCGCCCCAGGCCAGGGCCCCAUUAGUGCCACCACCACCCUGCUGAGAGGUUGCCUCUCCACCACCUCAAGUCUUGUUUACCUCCAAACCUAGCUGGUGGUGGAUGGUAAAUUCAUUCUCAGUGAUUGAGGUACUGGGCAGUCUACUGAGACAGGCCAGGAGUGAGGCUGUGGCAUGUGGAUAUUCUUCAGCUUGUCAUAUUGCUUAGGCAAGCAUCCUGUUUUCCUCUCCAAACUUAAAAUAAAGCAGUCUGGUAGAUGAGUAUAUUACAGACUGAUCUAUAAACACUGCUUUCUUGAAUAUUUAUAGUCUCCCUGGGUGAUUUGGUGAUGGACACACUACAGCUCCCUUUGGAGGUUAACAUGCAUAUUGUGAUAUUAAAGACUUUGAAAAGUCUUGCAAUAAAAGCAUCUAUUUAAUUUUAUUUAACCAAGCUCCUUCAAAAUCUUUUGGCCACCUCUUCCUCAUAUCUGAGGAACUGGAGUUCUGAAACAUACAAGCUGGAGAGUACUGAAAGAGGUGACUUCUGAACCUCCUUGUAAUCUCCCGUAUCUCAUCUAGAGAGGAGGAAGCAUGGGAAAGUGGAGUGUGCAGACUAUGUAAUCAGAUAGGAAUGGAUUCAAGUCUUGGAUUUGCCUGUUAGUUGCAUGUGGCCUUAAGCAAUUUCCUCAAGUUUCAUCAUGUGGAUUUUCUCAUCUGGAGAAACAGCCUCAUAAUACCUGUUCAUUGUGGUAGGUUGUUGAGAGUAGUCAGUCAGAUUAAGUUGUGAAGUGACCAGAACAGUCUUUGGAACAUGAUAGGCCCACAACAAACAUUAGUACCUCUUCUCACUUCCCCUAUUCCCUUCUUCUACCUCCAAAACCCAGAGCCGGCCCUUAACAAGGCAGAGAAUAUAGCAGAGGGAAGGCUAAGCCUAAGGCCUCACAUGGCCCCAUCUAGGCUCUCAGUUUUAUGGGAGGACCAUACUCAGCAGGCCCCUUGUAGGGAGAAAAACUAAGGUGAAGAGGCCUCGGGAUAUAGCAGAGAAUCCACUUCUUUGCCAAGCAAGUGGGUCCUUCCUGUGCCAGGCAAUUAGGUGGUGUUGGUGAAAAGAGGAGAUAAAAGGAUGCUUUGAGGUUGUUUUAGAAGAAAUGCCACUCUCCUAAAUCCACUACUUAAAACUGCAAACCCAUCCUCAAGGCCCCAUGUGUGGGCAAAACCUUUUGCUGGCACAAGCUGGAACCUGAGUGAUGGCAAGGAGAAAGGCUGGGGGACCAAACUGAAAGGGUGAGACUCAGAGACCCCUCAGGAGCGUUGGCACUGCCAUGGCAGUGGCAGAAGCUGCCUCCGAAGCACAGUCACCCACUGACAACACAGAUCAAGUACCGGGUUUGCACCAGACACAGCUUGACUCUUGGAAAGAAAAGGAGGAGUCUGCUGGGGAGGGAAAAUGGACCUGAGGCUUGGCUCCGAGAGACUAAACAAAUGAGUUGGAUGAAAGGCAUUUAUUCUGUGGACUAAUCCCACUUUUGUGUGGCCUUUUCCUGCCCCCUUUUCACUGUAGGACAGAGUCAGAAGAUAGAGCAUAGCUUUGGAGACAAAAGUGGUUUCGAGUGUCACUCUGCCUUUGCUGGUUUUGUGAUCUUGGGCAAGUUUCUUAACCUCUUUGAACUAUAGUUUCUUUGUGGGUACGGUAAAAAUAAUAAUCCCUACUUCACAAAGCAGUGUUUUUUUUUAAUGGAAAAAAGUAAAACAAAAUUUUAUAACAAGAUGGGAGAAUAAUGAUGGUUAACACACUGCAUAUUAUUAACUUUAAAGUAAUUACCUAGAGUACAAGAUAUGGGCAUAAAAUAUUCUCAUUAAUAUUAACACAAACUUUCUAUAGUAUAACUAACUUGCAUUUUACAGAGCAGUUCUGAGGACCCAGUAAGCUACUGAUGGACCCCAAAGUAUAGCACAUCUAACCCUGUCAUGGGAAUGAACACUUUUUAAUUCUCAUAGCUACUUGUUCAUUUUCAUGUAAUAUACCAAACUCUUUUAUGGAUGUCAUUGAUUAGUACAAGAGUAAAAUCAGUAUACAAGCUAGAGGGGGAAAAAGGGAGGGUUGAUUUUUUUUCUCACUGCUGUGUACUGAGCCUAGAACCCUUCCACUGAGCUCCCUUCCCAGCACUGUUUUACUUUUGAGACAAGUUCUCACUAAGUCUCUAAGUGGCCCAGGAUGAGUCUGAACUUGUGAUCAUUCUGACUCAGCGUCCCAGAGUGCUGGGAUUCUAGGCAUCCAUACCACAGUUGUCUAAAAGGGGUUGAACCAAAGGAAAAUAUUUAGUAAACUAUUGUAUAACGAGUAUGCACAAAAUGGCAAAAGUUGUGAAGAUCCUACUGAAAAGGUCUGAGAAACUGAAUUAAUACUGAACCAAGUAUGGGGCUGGCACAUGGCAGGACCUGAAGGUCGUUUCUCCUUCCUGCCCUUUUCUUUUUGGGAAAGGAAGAGAAAAGAGGAGGGAGGAAACAAACUACAUCCUUUACCUCCUCGACAGAUGUCUAUUCCAGGCCUUCCCUUCAUAUCCAGAGCUUCCCUGUUGUGCCAUGUUGUCUCCAUUUCCCCCCGAGCUGCAGGGCUCAGCUGUCCACCAGAGCGUUCUUCUUGCCUUUAGUCCUCUGAAACACGCAGGCAUCAGAAGCACUAAGGACUACGCCAACUCCUCACCCUCCACACUCCAGCAUGACUUCCAGAGCUUCUCAGGAAGUAAACACUUCAACAGAUGAGGGCAAGGAUGAGGUACUUAAGGAAGGAGAGAAGAAAAGAACUGAGGAGAGAAAGGGUGCUGGAUUAGCCUAGUCAGACUCUGACUCUUAAAUUUUGUGACCAUCAUGAGAUGCCUUCAUGUUUCCUAAAUGUGCUUGUCUUUUUUCUCUCAAGGAAGUGAAAAUUCAGAAAGAAAAAAUGACUUGUCUAAGACAGCAAUGAGUAUCCAAACUUGGAGGUCUCUAUUCUUAGUCUUUGCUUUCUGUCACAGUAAGGAGUCAGGGCUUUGCAGCUCCAGGAAAACAAAAGGAAAUCUCUUUUAAAAUAGGCUCAGCUGUUAAAAACAAAAGAAACGCAAAAUCUAUAGGGCUAAAUAGCUCUAAAAUUUGGACCUUGUCAGGUCAGGACGCAGUCAAGACAAGCACUAUAGUCUUCGAGUCCGUAUCCUUUCUCUGCCUUCUUAGCUGAAGAAUCCCAGUUUUUCACAGGAUGGCAAUAUGUCCAAUUCAAAACUAUUUUCCAGCUUCCCUUGAAGCUAGAGGGAGAAGCAUCUUGCAAUUCUGAGCACACUGAGUCGACAGCAGAAUUUAUUAAGAUGGACUCCUGUGAAGUUCCUUAAGUAAGCUCUAAUAAGUUGGCCCUUCUGCCUUCUGGCCAGUGUUUUACCCCCAAGAUAUGACAGCCAUCUGUGAGCUGGAAGCCAGACAGGGCCAUAGUUGAGGAAAGCACUGAUAAGAGCUGGACGGAUCUACAUGACUCUGUACCAGCCCUGGGCAUGUACCCAGACUUAUCACCCAGUAAGAUAAAUAUCUUUGUGUGAUUAAUCCACCAUUCCUCAGGUCUCUUGUGACAUGCAGUCAAAUAAAAUUCCUAAUUUAAUAUGUAUUCAGUAAAAUGACAGAAAGAGAGAGAGAGGGAGAGAGAAAUAAGUGGAAGUAGCCAUGCUCACUGACAGUCUCUGCACAUGCAAGAUGUUCCCAAGUAGGGUGUAGAACAUGAAAUGGUGUAAAAGCUGAAGACAAGGUUGAGGCUUCUGAUUUAGAUUUAGAUAAAAAUCUGCUUUAGAUUUAGAUAAAAAUCUGCUUUAGAUUUAGAUAAAAAUCUGCUUUAGAUUUAGAUAAAAAUCUGCUUUAGAUUUAGAUAAAAAUCUGCUUUUCCCAAGUGAGACAGAGGCAGGGCUUUGGCUAGAACCUAAGUCUUCAGGCAUCACAAACAUAGAGGUCCAAUUUGACCUGGGAUGUAAAUGUUGAGGACAGAGAAUCUGGAAGCCAGAGGAAGUUCUCCCAGCCACUUUUCUGCCAGGCAGAAGGUCAAGAAAGUGUUUGAGUCUGUCUUCGUUACUUUUCUCUCAUUGAUGAGAUGAAAUUCCUAACACCCAAGGUUAAAGGAGGAAAUGUGUAUUUAUCUCACAAUUUGUAGAGGUUUCUGUCCAUAAUUGGCUGGCUGCACAGUAGGGUGGCUUGGAAGAGGAGAGCCAGUCAUGAUGGGCAGAAAGCAGCAAAGCAACAAGCAAGAGAGAAAAGACUCUUUGUCCUUUAUGUAUUGUUUUUAGACUGCUGAGAUUAGAGUGGUGCCAAACCAAUCAGUGCACUGAUCUAGGAAUCGCAUAGUUGUAGCCCCAGCAUCUCACAUUCUAGAUUCAGCCACCUCUAAAGAACAGUAACACGGCAUAAGGCUUUAGGGAGACAUCUAGACACAAACCAUAACAGGGCCUACUGGAAACAGACAAGAAAUUGUUUUUGUUCAUGCUAUGCUUGACUGAAAGGAAGAAUCCCACUUCUCAUAUCCCUGUGCUUGGCCCUAUAUUAUAUUGCUAUGUCACAAAGAGUGAGUCUCAUUUGGACUUUCCAGAUUCCUUUCGUUCCAGCAAGUUGAGCAAAGCGGUUUCCCAGAACAUCACCCCACUUCCUAUUAUCCACAUUGUCUUCUAGUAAACAGAGUUGCAAUCUCAUUUGCAAAUGACUCCUCCAUCUUAAACUCAUUAGCAUCCAUCCGUGCUGUGAAAGCCCAUGGUAUGCCAGGACAAGCCUUCACUUCGGACAUUUAAAGCUUUGUUUAUUAUGGAUGCAUGAAACUGAUAUUUGAAGCCUGCUGCUUGGAAAAUUUUUGCUUUGUCCUUGGGAAUUAAAGAACCUUUAUUAUUAGGUCAAUGUGAUGAAGGCUAAAAUUCUCAGUUAAAUCCAAACAAUAGCCAGUAAAUUCUCAAACUAUAAAAUAAUACACUAAUUAAAAUCUCUAGUGCUGAAUUCUUUCAGUGACACAAGGUCAAAUUAGAAAGGAAAAUGCACCUUUUGCACUUAUUCAUGACUACUGUCCUUGAAAAGGAACGAAAGAGCUUGGUGAGUAAGCACGAUGGUAGAUGUUGGUCUGGUAGGCGGCUAAUGGGGAGAGCUGGCUGUACCCCAUCGGUGAGCCUCUCCCUGCGUGUACAUUCACUGUGCUUCUUUCUUUCUUCUGCCUGACAAGCAUGACCUGUCCUCCACUGUUGCUUGUUCAUAUCUGUCUUUUUUUUUUAACUUUUUAUCAGUACCAGGGAUUGAACUCACGACCGCCUGCUUGCAGGGCAGGUGCUUAUGCUGCUGAGCUAAAUCUCCAGCCCCUCAUAUCUGUCUUUUAAGGCGUGCUCUGAAUGUUUUCUCUUCCACGAAUCUUCUCAACUUGGUAGAAAACCUACUGAGCCCUCUUGCAUAUUUUAGUUCUCUACAUUCUGCUCUCCUCUCCUCUUGUUGUCAGUUCAUUAAAGGAAAGACUAUUUUAUUAAUUCAUUUUUAGAAAAAGAAAAAAGAAAUUUACUUUUCUUUCUUGUUACAUACUUUUUGCAUAUCCAUUAUACACAUAGGAAAAUACAGCAAAACCAAAUCAGAGAAUACAUUUGUGUUUUGUUGUACAAUAUCUUAGGAUUUUAAAAACUCUUAUGUUAUAAAGAUAUAUCAAAAUUGGAUCACAUUGUAUUAUGUAUGAAAUUUUAAAAUCUACUUUUUAUAUUACAAUAUGUCUUUAAUACCUUUCUAAUCCAAUAUGGUUAUAUUUUCCUUUACUUUUUUUUUUUUGUCUUUUUCCUUUUUAUCGGUACCAGGGACCGAACUCACGACUGCCUGCUUGCAAGGCAGGCACUUAUGCUGCUGAGCUAAAUCCCCAGCCCCAAUAUGGUUAUAUUUUAAAUUAAAAUGUUGCUCUUUUUAAAAAAUGUGCUUAUCACAAAAAUUGAAAGGAAAUGUGAAAUAUAUGAAAAGUCAAAUAAAAAUUUUUUUAAUUUCACAUUACA